CAUCUACUCCCUCCGUCCGGAAUUAUUUGUCGCAUAAAUGGAUAUAUAUAUACGUAUUUUUAGUUCUAGAUACAUCCAUUUCUAUCAAUUUUUGUGACAAGUAAUUCGGAACGGAGGGAGUAUUUU
rfam:Triticum aestivum genome assembly, contig: Triticum_aestivum_CS42_TGACv1_scaffold_527466_6DL